ACGUUUUCCAAGUGGUUGCUAGGCAGUUGCUAAGUGGUUGCUAGGCAGUUGCUAACGUUUUCCAGGUGGUUGCUAAGUGGUUGCUAGGCAGUUGCUAACGUAUUCCAGGUGGUUGCUAGGCAGUUGCUAAGUGGUUGCUAGGCAGUUGCUAACGUUUUCCAGGUGGUUGCUAAGUGGUUGCUAGGCAGUUGCUAACGUAUUCCAGGUGGUUGCUAGGCAGUUGCUAAGUGGUUGCUAUGCAGUUGCUAACGUUUUCCAAGUGGUUGCUAGGCAGUUGCUAAGUGGUUGCUAGGCAGUUGCUAACGUUUUCCAGGUGGUUGCUAGGCAGUUGCUAAGUGGUUGCUAGGCA